UUCCGGUUGAUCCUGCCGGACCCGACUGCUAUCAGAAUGAGAUUAAGCCAUGCGAGUCAACGUAGCAAUACGUGGCACACGGCUCAGUAACACGUAGUCAACAUAACCAGAGGACGUGGAUAAACUCGGGAAACUGAGGCUAAACCGCGAUAGACCAAGAUACCUGGAAUGGUUUUUGAUCAAAAUCUAUAUGGCCUUUGGAUUGGACUGCGACCGAUCAGGCUGUUGGUGAGGUAAUGGCCACCAAACCUGUAACCGGUACGGGCUCUGAGAGGAGGAGCCCGGAGAUGGGUACUGAGAAAAGGACCCAGGCCCUAUGGGGCGCAGCAGGCGCGAAACCUCUGCAAUAGGCGAAAGCCUGACAGGGUUAUUCUGAGUGACUUUCGCUAAGAAAGUCUUUUGACAUCUCUAAAAAUGGUGUAGAAUAAGGGGUGGGCAAGUCUGGUGUCAGCCGCCGCGGUAAUACCAGCACCCCAAAUGGUCGGGACGAUUAUUGGGCCUAAAGCAUCCGUAGCCGGUUUUACAAGUCCUCCGUUAAAUCCAACUGCUUAACAGAUGGGCCGCGGAGGAUACUAUAAGACUAGGAGGCAGGAGAGGCAAGCGGUACUCAGUGGGUAGGGGUAAAAUCCGUUGAUCCAUUGAAGACCACCAGUGGCGAAGGCGGCUUGCCAGAAUGCGCUCGACGGUGAGGGAUGAAAGCUGGGGGAGCAAACCGGAUUAGAUACCCGGGUAGUCCCAGCUGUAAACGAUGCAGACUCGGUGAUGGACUAGCUUAAUGCUAGUCCAGUGCCGCAGGGAAGCCGUUAAGUCUGCCGCCUGGGUAGUACGGUCGCAAGACUGAAACUUAAAGGAAUUGGCGGGGGAGCACCACAAGGGGUGAAGCCUGCGGUUCAAUUGGAGUCAACGCCGGG
rnacentral:rRNA from 1 species